ACUCCUACGGGAGGCAGCAGUGGGGAAUCUUGCGCAAUGGGCGAAAGCCUGACGCAGCCACGCCGCGUGAGGGAUGAAGGCUUUCGGGUUGUAAACCUCUUUCAGCAGGGACGAAAAUGACGGUACNGCAGAAGAAGNNCCGGCCAACACC
rnacentral:rRNA from 1 species